rnacentral:rRNA from 1 species
CGUGUAGGCGGUCAGGUAAGUGGAAUGUGAAAUGCCCCGGCUCACCCGGGGACCGGCAUCCCAAACUGCCUGGCUUGAGUAUGGGAGAGGAUGGAGGAAUUCCUGGUGUAGCGGUGAAAUGCGUAGAUAUCAGGAGGAACACCGGUGGCGAAGGCGUCCAUCUGGCCCAAUACUGACGCUGAGGCGCGAAAGCUAGGGGAGCAAACGG